UACGUAGGGGGCGAACGUUGUCCGGAUUUAUUGGGCGUAAAGAGCUCGUAGGCGGUUUGUCGCGUCUGCCGUGAAAGUCCGGGGCUCAACUCCGGAUCUGCGGUGGGUACGGGCAGACUAGAGUGAUGUAGGGGAGACUGGAAUUCCUGGUGUAGCGGUGGAAUGCGAAGAUAUCAGGAGGAACACCGAUGGCGAAGGCAGGUCACUGGGCCGCAACUGACGCUGAGGAGCGAAAGCAUGGGGAGCGAACAGG
rnacentral:rRNA from 1 species